GGGCACUCGAGUCAGCAGACCUGGGGGCACACGGUGUGGGGAAGGGGAUAUUCCCCGGGUACCUCCAACCCCCAGUCGAGGAGCAGGGGCAGACAGCAGGGGACGGGAUGGAGGCGGACACUUCCCUUCUGGAGGAUCCACCACCAGACCAAGAACCUGUCGGGCUAACUCUGCCGAGCGCUUCCCACCACACCUGGGAGAGGGACAGAAGAGGGAAAUUAUGAGUGGGGCUCCCUACCACGCAAGAGCAAACUGCAGAGAACAGAGCCUGAGAGGUGAGAUGUAACCUCUGGGUUGGGACCCCUCAUAUGCUCCCCACAUCUGUUCUUCCCGGGGAGAAUCCCUUUCUCCUUCCCACCCAUGACUCCCAAGCCAGUGAGGGGACUCAAGCAUCCUUUAUAGUCUCCUUGCCAAAUCAACGGAGAAAACACACAUAAGCCAGCUUGUAAACUAUAUAAAAACAGCUUUUCUCAGGGCCUGGAGGUUCUGGAGACUGGCCUGUGGUGUCUAAGUUCUCGGCUGAUGGCUUCCCUAUGCCAUUUCACUGGAGCAUCCUACGGCUAACCCCAGGGAGAGGAAAGAGAAGCUCUCUCAAAGACUUCACCGGGAAGAGCUGUAAGUGUCGAUCUCCUCCAACAAGACCGGCUCGGUGUUCCCGUUCCCUGAUCCUGGGGGGAGAACCUUCAGCACUGUCCCAUCCUCAGUACCCAAGAAGAGGACAGUGGUGUUGCCAUGGCGACCCGCUGCUCCAUCCACAGCCACCUGUGUCAACAAGGCUCUGGAAAGGUACCACUCUGGAGUCAGUAAAGGGCAUGGCAGCCCUGAGAUGGUCCUAUUGGAAAGUCUGUCCUCUCCAGUGACUCCACCAGGAGAUCGAGUGAGGGGAUAGCCAUACUGGCGCAAACCGGCUGCUGCAGGAAAAGACAGACCCAAGUGAUGACCUCAGGUGAGUGACCAGGAUCAUACCCAUCCCCACAAAGAGGAUGCCGAAGCUCCAGAGAGAGAGGAGAGGCCCAGGAAGGGCGAAGGGCAGUGGAAGGAGGAAGCAGAGGAUGUCAAGAGCCAGGAGAAGCAGGGACGGGCACCAUGGACAGGGCACUGUGUACUGGAGCUGGGUUGGAGAAGCGAAGGGUUGCCAGGCGUUGGCCUCUUGGGGUGCCCUUCCUGCCUAGGAGGGAUUGGGCAAAGGGGACACCUGAGGCUACUGGACAGGCCUAGGAGAGAGAAAGUGGCCUCGAGGACGAGACCCAGGAAGCUCUAUAACAGCCGGGAGAGGAUCCUCCACAGAAUCCAGCAAAUACUUAGCAAAAAGGCCCAAGCUGGAAACCAAGACAAUAGAAGCUUAUUUGCAUCUCAUUUGCAUGUUUCAUCUCCGUGCAAAAUAAGCACACAGCAUCCCUCCACUCCCCUCCAUGCCACACCAUCCGGCCAGUGGUGGUGGUUCCUGGGCUUCUGACAAAGGCCUCCCAGGCUGGCUCCUUUCCCCAAAGAGGUCCCCAGCGCCCUGAAUCUCAGCUGCUUUCUGCCUAGGUCAUCCCAUGCCCCCUUGCCCCAGGGCUGAUCUAGGCUGGCCUGGCCUGGCCAAAACAUCUGAUUGGGCUUUUUCUGGGUACCUUUACUCUCACCUGCAGGGCCAGGGGAGCCCUCUGCAGCUUCUGCUAGGCAUUAGCACUGUGAAUUCAUUCACCUACUCCCCAGGCCUAAAGGGGGGAAUCUCAGUCCUGCUCUCCCUCUAGUGCCCCUGAUACUUCCCUUACUUUGACCUCUUACUUCCAUUGUGGCAGAAGUAUUUGUGUAUAUGUGUGUGUGUGUGUGUGUGUGUUGUAUGAGUGGGGGUGGGAGAAAUGGUAAGCAAGGUGGGAUUAGUGAACAGGAGGAAUCAGCAUCCUGAAUCUUUCAACCAGCCAAAUCUCACAGGGACUAGGCUCGCCUGGGCUCACCUCCGGUGUGGAAAAGGAAGCUGGCCCCUCUCCUAGCCUCAGGCUCAAAGCCACCUCUGGGGAGUGGCUGGGGUCACAGCCAAAGAGUCUGGCAGGAGGGAUUGGGGUGGGGGGGCUCUCACCCUGGGACAAUAGCAGGAAACCCUCAGCACUGUAGUCCAGCCCCCUGUCCCCCUUCCUUUCGGGGAAGGGGGGGCUUUACUAAGGAGGGGCUUAAGAGAACUCUACCCUCUCCCAGACAUUUUCCCCUCCUCUCUCUUCUCUGGUUCUAAAUAAACAGUGACUCUACCAUUCCCGUCAUUCCCAGAGCAAGGAUAAUCCAGGUGUCUAGACCCCUGCAUGAGGUGGGCACUGUGCCAGUAAAUGGAGAAAUCUCCAAAUUGUCCCGUCCCUACCCCUCCUCCCCCCUUCCCAACUCCGGAGCUCCAAACACCGAGGCCAGGGGGCCAGGG